rnacentral:lncRNA from 1 species
CCCACAUCACAGCGGGUCCUGACGUAGGAUGCCCCAGUGGCCUUCUCUGGAGGCUCCGUCGUGUUCCGGCAUCUGGUCUAUCCCGUCUUUCCUUCCCACUCACCUCCAUCGCUGGCUCUGUGGCGAGUGCUCCUUUCCUGGCAUCACGGUGGCCCACACAUGAAGACAGGGCUGCAUCUAAUCCUAGAGAGGGCUGCUUUUCCCAGGCGUCUCUUUCUUAGGAGCCCUCCAGAAGCUCCUCUAGCCCUGGCCCGUGCCGCUUUGGCCACAGCUGAGUCAGGUGCCGAGUGGAUCACUGGCGAGGUACAGCUGGAUCCAGAGGCUCAUCCCUGAUGGAUCACAGAGAAAACCCUCGGUUGUCCUCCACCCAGGAUGGAACUGCUUCUAACUGUUCUGGAGAAUUCCUGGCAAUCCCAGUUCCUCUGCUGCUGCUGCUGCUGCUGCUUCUGCUGCUCCCAAGAAAGUGGGACGCCUCCCUUCCUGUACUCUUCCCUUCCCUGACCUGGCAGAGCCCAGCCAACAGCAUUGGUCAGUUCUGCCUUUGAUAAAGAAAAAUGUCGAAGUUUCCCUCUGUCACAUAAAAUGAAGAUGUGGGUGCUGUGUGUUGCUUUCCGUUCAGCAGUUUCUCAGCGGCCUGGCCAGCACACCACCAUGAAGGCAUUGAUUUAUUCCAUCUAAUACACAGCACUGCUUAUUAGUGCUCUCAAUCUGACAAGAAAUAUUGAGCCUACCGCCGAGGUUUUACAAAAAUAUGAAUACAUCCCUAUCUGGACUCUGAGCUAAGAGAGCAUUUUGCCCACUGAAUGGGAAACCGAGACAGGGAAAUGACAAGCGACUGUGCUGAGGCUCGGGUGGGCCCUGCUUGUCCUUCAUUGCCUCCUCCAGCUUAUCUUGCCUGGACGCCUCCUCUGAAAUCCUCACUGUAUUAUUCAGGACUCUGGGUUGCGAGUGACAGAAACCCAACUCAAAUGAGCAUGAGCAAAAACAAGGGAAUUGGCUGGGCUUAGUGGCUCACACCUGUACUCGCAGCACUUUGGGAGGCCGAGGGAGGUGAAUCACCUGAGAUCAGGAGUUCGAGACCAGCCUGGCCAACGUGGUGAAACCCCAUCUCUAUAAAAGUACAAAAAAAUUAGCCAGGCAUGGUGGCAGGCACCUGUAAUCCCAGCUACUUGAGAGGCUGAGGCAGGAGAAUCACUUGAACCCAGGAGGCAGAGGUUGCAGUGAGCAGAGAUCGCACCAUUGCGCUCCAGCCUGGGCAACAAGAGCGAAACUCCAUCUCAAAAAAAAAAAAAAAGACACACACACUCACAAGAGAAUUUACUAAGCUACAGGCAUGGCUGAAUCUGCCACACCCCACACCCCCCACGUCUCUCUAUCUCUGGGAUCUGCUGUGCUGUGGUGGAGGGGACUUCAUUCUUAAGCAGGGCCUCUCCCAUCUUAGCCCCUGGAAUUUGCAAAACACAUCCUUACUGCUCAGCAGCUUCGACAGAGAGAGGAUGACUCUUUCCCAGACUUUUCAGUAGACAUCCUGGGAGUAAUGUUCACUAUCUUUGAUUGGAUCAGUUUUGAUCUUGGAUCUAGGGUCUAGGCUAAGGGUGUCCAAAAUCUUUUGGCUUCCCUGGGCCACACUGGAAGAAGAAUUGUCUUGGGCCACACAUAAGAUACACUAACACUGACGAUAGCUGAUGAGCUAAAAAGAGAAAGAAAGAAAAUCACAAUGCCCUAAAAAAGUUUACAAAUUCGUAUCGGGCUGCAUUCAAAGCCAUCCUGGGCUAAUGCACAGCCCACGUGCCCUGGGUUGGACAAGUAUGGUCUAGACCAAUCCCGCCACUUGAUUCUGCCUGGCCCACAACCUAAGAAUGCUAUUCACACAUUUAAAUGGUUGAAAAAAAACAAAGGAAGAGCAAUAUAUCAUGACCUGUGAAAGUUACAUGAAAUUCACGUUUCAGUGUCCAUAAAGACUUAUUGGAACCCAAGCGUGCUCAUUCCUUUAGGGCUUGUCGAAGGCCGCUUUUGUGCUACAGUGGCAGAGUUGAAUAGUCAAGGUGGACUAUAUGGCUUGCACAGCUGAAAAGAUAUUUAUUCAUCUAAAAUUUUAUUUUAAAAAUUGAUAAUGAAUAAUUUACUUAAUCAUAAAUAAAAGAUAAAAUUAAUAUUCUAUUUACUCAUCUUUAUAGAAGAAGCUUGCCAACCCCUGGUCUAGACUGUGUAGCCAGUGAGAUGCCUCAGUCGAGUGCCCAUCCUUGGAGUGGGUUGAGGCAGAGGGAGUGAACCACUCACCGAGUUGGACCAUGGCGUGACAGUGGCAGUGGGUUUCUAGCAGACAGCAGGUAUCCAUGCUGGACAGAAAGAACAAUGAGUGUCCAUGCCCCCCCACUGUCUUGGGCUGGGAUCUCCUAGAAACAGACCCUGAAACAAAUGU